rnacentral:rRNA from 1 species
CAGACCUGAGUGUGGCAGGACUACCCGC